UACGUAGGUGGCAAGCGUUGUCCGGAAUUAUUGGGCGUAAAGCGCGCGCAGGCGGUCCCUUAAGUCUGAUGUGAAAGCCCACGGCUCAACCGUGGAGGGUCAUUGGAAACUGGGGGACUUGAGUGCAGAAGAGGAAAGUGGAAUUCCAUGUGUAGCGGUGAAAUGCGUAGAGAUGUGGAGGAACACCAGUGGCGAAGGCGACUUUCUGGUCUGUAUCUGACGCUGAGGCGCGAAAGCGUGGGGAGCAAACAGG
rnacentral:rRNA from 1 species